rnacentral:lncRNA from 1 species
GUUUGAGGAGCAUUGCUUCUCAUACAGUAAGGUUUCCCAACAGUGAUGUCACAAGAUUGACCACAUUGAUCACAGUAAGACCAAAAUGAUAGUUAAGCUUUUAAGGAAGUUUGGUUUUCUCUGAGAAUGAGAAUUGACUUAGAAAACAUAUAUAAUUUGAAAUUAUUAUUUCUUUUGCUAGCCAGUUGAAUGUUAACAUUUUAAAUGAAUCAUAUCUUAUACUUCUAGCUAGUUAUUUAAAUACUUUUAAAAUAUUACUUUAAAGGAUUUAAAAAACAUUUAAAAUGAAAAUUACUUUUAAUUUACAACUGAAAUUACAGGCCUAAAUAUACUAAAUUAUUUCAGUGUGACUUAAAUUCUGAACGUCAUCUUUUUUGAGUUUUUAUUUUUACCAGAAAAUGACAGAAAGGUUAAGGUGAUUCCACAUUAGGAAAUAUAUAUAAAAGUAAAUUAC